UAUGAACGCUGGCGGCGUGCCUAAUACAUGCAAGUCGAGCGGAAAGGCCUCUUCGGAGGUACUCGAGCGGCGGACGGCAGAGUAACGCGUAGGAACAUACCCCAAACUGAGGGAUAACUGCCCGAAAGGGUGGCUAAUACCGCAUGUGAUCUUCGGAUUAAAGCUUCGGCGGCUUGGGAAUGGCCUGCGUUCGAUUAGCUAGUUGGUGAGGUAAUGGCUCACCAAGGCGACGAUCGAUAACUGGUCUGAGAGGAUGACCAGUCUGACUGGAACUGAGACACGGUCCAGACUCCUACAGGAGGCAGCAGUAGGGAAUUUUCCACAAUGGGCGAAAGCCUGAUGGAGCAACGCCGCGUGCAGGAUGAAGGCCCUUGGGUCGUAAACUGCUUUUAUGUGAGAAGAAUAUGACGGUAACACAUGAAUAAGGGUCGGCUAACUACGUGCCAGCAGCCGCGGUCAUACGUAGGACCCAAGCGUUAUCCGGAAUUACUGGGCGUAAAGAGUUGCGUAGGUGGCAUUAUAAGUGGAGCGUGAAAGCGUGCGGCUCAACCGCAUUACUGCGUUCCAAACUGUAAAGCUUGAGGAUGAGAGAGGUUAUUGGAAUUCCCAGUGUAGGAGUGAAAUCCGUAGAUAUUGGGAGGAACACCGAUGGCGUAGGCAGAUAACUGGCUCAUUCCUGACACUAAGGCACGAAAGCGUGGGGAGCAAACGGGAUUAGAUACCCCGGUAGUCCACGCCGUAAACUAUGGAUGCUAGCUGUUACUCAUAUCGACCUGAGUAGUAGCGAAGUUAACGCGUUAAGCAUCCCGCCUGGGGAGUACGGUCGCAAGAUUAAAACUCAAAGGAAUUGACGGGGACCCGCACAAGCGGUGGAGCGUGUUGUUUAAUUCGAUGGUAAGCGAAGAACCUUACCAAGGCUUGAAAUCCCGAUAGAAAUUUUCCGAAAGGAAAGUUGCAUUUAGUUGGAUCGGUGACAGGUGUUGCAUGGCCGUCGUCAGCUCGUGUCGUGAGAUGUAUGGUUAAGUCCAUUAACGAGCGCAACCCUUAUGUUUAGUUGGAUUUUUCUAAACAGACUGCCCUGGCAACAGGGAGGAAGGGGGGGAUGAUGUCAGGUCAGUAUUACCCUUACGUCUUGGGCUACAAACACGCUACAAUGGCCGGUACAAAGGGCAGCCAACCCGCGAGGGGGAGCAAAUCCCAUCAAAGCCGGUCUCAGUUCGGAUUGCAGGCUGAAACUCGCCUGCAUGAAGCUGGAAUCGCUAGUAACGGUAAGUCAGCACAUUACCGUGAAUACGUUCCCGGGUCU
rnacentral:rRNA from 1 species